GACGAACGCUGGCGGCGUGCUUAACACAUGCAAGUCGAACGGAAAGGCCCUGCUUUUGUGGGGUGCUCGAGUGGCGAACGGGUGAGUAACACGUGAGUAACCUGCCCUUGACUUUGGGAUAACUUCAGGAAACUGGGGCUAAUACCGGAUAGGAGCUCCUGCUGCAUGGUGGGGGUUGGAAAGUUUCGGCGGUUGGGGAUGGACUCGCGGCUUAUCAGCUUGUUGGUGGGGUAGUGGCUUACCCAGGCUUUGACGGGUAGCCGGCCUGUGAGGGUGACCGGCCUCAUUGGGACUGCGAGACGGCGCAGACUCCUACGGGAGGCAGCAGGGGGGAAUAUGGCACAGUGGGCGGAAGCCUGUGACAGCAACGCCGCGUGCGGGAUGACGGCCUUCGGGUUGUAAACCGCUUUCGCCUGUGACGAAGCGUGAGUGACGGUAAUGGAUAAAGAAGCACCGGCUAACUACGUG
rnacentral:rRNA from 1 species